rnacentral:misc_RNA from 1 species
GGUAGGGUAACCCUACCUGUGAAAUUUUGCUUGUAAACCCGGGCAAUCUUUGACCCGCCAGCUAGGGUAGCCCUAACACAAAGGUUACCCUCCUUGCUUGUAAACAGGGCCUAACGCUCUUUGGAGUCUGAGUAAGAGUGGUAGUGUGCCUCAGGGCUCCCCGAGAUAAUAACCGUAUCAUUUAACGACAUUCUUUCCGCUGUACAUCUAAGUGCUUGAGUUACUCGAAGCCGUCAAGGUAUUCAAAAUGCAUUUAGCAGCAUAUUCUCCUACCUUACCUACGAUGACCGUGGAACCAGACGCUGAUGGCUGCAAGCUGCAUAAUUCUUACGACUCACAAAGCUGCAUUGUUGCUGCAACUGGUAUUCUUCUGGGAUCGAUCAUUUGUUUCUUUGGAUACCGGAUAUUCAAGUUUAUGCUCUUCUUAGCUGGUUUCCUAACAGGAUUUUUCUUCACUUAUAUGUUUUGUUCUGGAUAUCUCGUGAAAUACCUGUCUGAGAAAGCUCUGGAGCACCAAGAUCAGAUUUUUCUUGGUGCCUCAGUUGCUGUUGGGAUCAUUGCUGGGUUAUUGACACUGUGUAUUUUUUAUCUGGGCCUUUUUUUACUUGGUGCAACCAUGGGAUGGUUUGUGGGCAUGGUUUGUCUGCCAUUUCUCUAUAAGCAGUCAGAGUACCUGUCUGAACACACCUGGCUGCCUUACAUUGUUCUUUGUGCUUUUGCCAUUGCUGGAGGAAUCCUUAUUCUCUGCAUACAGAAGGUGGUAACUGUGAUAGCCUCUGCAUUCCUGGGUGCAUUUGGUUGUAUUAAUGGCCUUGACUACUUUGUGGAGAACAGCAAAUCACUGUACUACUCGGUCAACAUUCUGCAAGGCCACUUUGACAAGUCAGCUUUGCCCACUUGUUGGUACACAUGGUUGAUUUUGUGUCUUAUCCCGCUAAUGUUCAUUGGUGGAUUGGCAGUGCAGCUUGGCAUCACUGGAAAAGGCAGAGAUCAUAGAGCAGACAGAAAGUCAGAGACUGUUAGAAAACCAUUGCUGGCCAAAUUUCCAGUUAAUUGAGGAAGACAGUGCUCAGAAAUGGGGGAGGACAGUCAAACUUCACUUGCAGAUUAGUAAUAAACCAGAGAGACAGUCAAGCAGACAGGUACACAGAUAUACAAACAAAUAGAUGGACAGAACAUCACAUAAUUGUGAAGCUUAUGGUAGACGAUCUCACGUGGGGACCUUUAUGCCGCUCCCAUGAGAAAUCAUGCAGAUGAG